rnacentral:rRNA from 1 species
GAUGAACGCUGGCGGCGUGCCUAACACAUGCAAGUCGAACGAAGCAUACGGACUGGAGAUUCGUCGAAGGACCGUAUGACUUAGUGGCGGACGGGUGAGUAAUGUAUGAGCAACCUGCCUUUCAGAGGGGGACAACAGUUGGAAACGACUGCUAAUACCGCGUAACGUAUCGUGAGGGCAUCCUCGUGAUACCAAAGGAGUAAUCCGCUGAAAGAUGGGCUCAUAUCUGAUUAGAUAGUUGGCGGGGUAACGGCCCACCAAGUCGACGAUCAGUAGCCGGACUGAGAGGUUGAACGGCCACAUUGGGACUGAGACACGGCCCAGACUCCUACGGGAGGCAGCAGUGGGGGAUAUUGGACAAUGGGGGCAACCCUGAUCCAGCGACGCCGCGUGAGGGAAGAAGGUUUUCGGAUUGAAACCUCUGUCGACAGGGAAAAUGAUGAUGGUACCUGUGGAGGAAGCCACGGCUAACUACGUGCCAGCAGCCG